CUUCUGAUGUCAUACAGGUUGAUCACUCCUCUAUAAAAGCUUCAUACUGAGAUUAAAGAGUACUGGAUGAGAAGUGGAAUGUACAGUGACAGACAGCAUCUCAGAACUUGUGGAGAAAAUAUAUAAAUCCCUGUUAAAAAGUAUUCCAGAGAAACAUUGCAAAUAUGGUUGGAAUAAAACUGCUUGUGCUUCUUUUAAUUAUUGAUGUGGGAAGCUGUCAAGUGACACCUACAGAUUAUUCCACAACAACUUCUCCUACUCCUGUAGCUACUUCCACAACCACAGAUGCUGCCACAACAUCCACAGCUGAUCCUGCAACAACUACAGUUGCUUCUUCAACUGACAUCUGCUACAAAUCAGUAUUCUCACAAUCUGUGUAGCUCUAAUCACCCAAAUACUUUUCUAAAAUGAAUCUUGUUUUUUUCUUGUUUAGUUUAUAAUAUAAUAUGGAUAUGUCACUUUGUAUUCAUAAGUUAUAACAAGGCCUUAGAAAAUCCUCUUCAAAAUGGCAUGUAACUUUUGUUCAAAUUUUGUGAAAUAGUAGGCUAUAUUCUUUAGAUCGAUAAUAUGUUAUAGCCUAUAUAUAUUUAUUGAUUAUAAUGCUUUCCAAAAAGUAAAAUUAUAGAUAUAUCAUACCAAACCUACAGUAGGAUGAAGGAUGUUGGAUGAAGAAAUCUUGAGUCUGUACAUUGCACUGUCCCUUAGUGAAAAUAGCUAAAAUAAUUAGUCUGUUUUACAUAGAAAGAUUCACAAGCCUUAGUUUUAUUUUACUGCGACUGCCUUCAUCAAUAGAAAGUGUGUUUUGUAUU